rnacentral:rRNA from 1 species
CCUACGGGAGGCAGCAGUGAGGAAUAUUGGUCAAUGGGCGGAAGCCUGAACCAGCCAAGUAGCGUGCAGGAUGACUGCCCUACGGGUUGUAAACUGCUUUUAUACGGGAAUAACGCGCCUUACGUGUAGUGCUUUGCAUGUACCGUAUGAAUAAGGACCGGCUAAUUCCGUGCCAGCAGCCGCGGUAAUACGGAGGGUCCGGGCGUUAUCCGGAUUUAUUGGGUUUAAAGGGAGCGUAGGCCGCAUUGCAAGCGUGAGGUGAAAGGUCAGGGCUCAACCCGGGUCUUGCAGGGGGAACUGGGUGGCUGGAGUGCGCGGAAGGCAGGCGGAAUUCGUGGUGUAGCGGUGAAAUGCGUAGAUAUGACGAAGAACGCCGAUGGCGAAGGCAGCCUGCUGGAGCGGAACUGACGUUGAGGCGCGAAAGCGUGGGGAGCGAACAGGAGUAGAUACCCGAGUAGUC